CCACGCGUACCCAUCCCGAACACGACCGUUAAGCCCUCCAGCGCCGAUGGUACUUGGACCGCAGGGUCCUGGGAGAGUAGGACGCCGCCAGGC
rnacentral:rRNA from 1 species